UGUGGGAAUUCGGAGUAGACUGCUCGUAGUAGAAGUUCAGAGUAGACUGCUCGUAGUAGAAGUUCGGAGUAGACCGCCCGUAGUAGAAGUUUGGAGUAGACCGCCUCUGUAGUAGAAGUUCGGAGUAGACCGCCCGUAGUAGAAGUUCGGAGUAGAUCGCUCGUAGUAGAAGUUUGGCUCUCACAAGAGUCCGGUUAGAAUCUUGAAGGCAGUCGACCACCGUAGAAACUCGGAUGGAGUCCGAUUUCUAUAGAAACCUCGUUGUC
rnacentral:lncRNA from 1 species